GAUGAACGCUGGCGGCGUGCCUAAUACAUGCAAGUCGAGCGAACAGACGAGGAGCUUGCUCCUCUGACGUUAGCGGCGGACGGGUGAGUAACACGUGGAUAACCUACCUAUAAGACUGGGAUAACUUCGGGAAACCGGAGCUAAUACCGGAUAAUAUAUUGAACCGCAUGGUUCAAUAGUGAAAGACGGUUUUGCUGUCACUUAUAGAUGGAUCCGCGCCGCAUUAGCUAGUUGGUAAGGUAGCGGCUUACCAAGGCAACGAUGCGUAGCCGACCUGAGAGGGUGAUCGGCCACACUGGAACUGAGACACGGUCCAGACUCCUACGGGAGGCAGCAGUAGGGAAUCUUCCGCAACGGGCGAAAGCCUGACGGAGCAACGCCGCGUGAGUGAUGAAGGUCUUCGGAUCGUAAAACUCUGUUAUUAGGGAAGAACAAAUGUGUAAGUAACUAUGCACGUCUUGACGGUACCUAAUCAGAAAGCCACGGCUAACUACGUG
rnacentral:rRNA from 1 species